AACGAACGCUGGCGGCAUGCCUAACACAUGCAAGUCGAACGAGACCUUCGGGUCUAGUGGCGCACGGGUGCGUAACGCGUGGGAACCUGCCCUUAGGUUCGGAAUAACUCCCCGAAAGGGGUGCUAAUACCGGAUAAUGUCUUCGGACCAAAGAUUUAUCGCCUUUGGAUGGGCCCGCGUUGGAUUAGCUAGUUGGUAGGGUAAAAGCCUACCAAGGCGACGAUCCAUAGCUGGUCUGAGAGGAUGAUCAGCCACACUGGGACUGAGACACGGCCCAGACUCCUACGGGAGGGAGCCGUUGGGAAUAUUGGACAAUGGGCGAAAGCCUGAUCCAGCAAUGCCGCGUGAGUGAUGAAGGCCUUAGGGUUGUAAAGCUCUUUUACCCGGGAUGAUAAUGACAGUACCGGGAGAAUAAGCUCCGACUAACUCCGUG
rnacentral:rRNA from 1 species